rnacentral:rRNA from 1 species
UACGUAGGUGGCGAGCGUUGUCCGGAUUUAUUGGGCGUAAAGAGCUCGUAGGCGGUUUGUCGCGUCUGCUGUGAAAACCCGAGGCUCAACCUCGGGCCUGCAGUGGGUACGGGCAGACUAGAGUGCGGUAGGGGAGAUUGGAAUUCCUGGUGUAGCGGUGGAAUGCGCAGAUAUCAGGAGGAACACCAAUGGCGAAGGCAGAUCUCUGGGCCGUAACUGACGCUGAGGAGCGAAAGCAUGGGGAGCGAACAGG